rnacentral:rRNA from 1 species
CUGGCGACCGGCGCACGGGUGAGUAACACGUAUCCCAACUGCCCUUUACUCGGGGAUAGCCUUUCGAAAGAAAGAUUAAUACCCGAUAGCAUAAUGAUUCCGCAUGGUUUCAUUAUUAAAGGAUUCCGGUAAAGGAUGGGGAUGCGUUCCAUUAGGUUGUUGGUGAGGUAACGGCCCACCAAGCCUUCGAUGGAUAGGGGUUCUGAGAGGAAGGUCCCCCACAUUGGAACUGAGACACGGUCCAAACUCCUACGGGAGGCAGCAGUGAGGAAUAUUGGUCAAUGGGCGCUAGCCUGAACCAGCCAAGUAGCGUGAAGGAUGAAGGCUCUAUGGGUCGUAAACUUCUUUUAUAUAAGAAUAAAGUGCAGUAUGUAUACUGUUUUGUAUGUAUUAUAUGAAUAAGGAUCGGCUAACUCCGUGCCAGCAGCCGCGGUAAUACGGAGGAUCCGAGCGUUAUCCGGAUUUAUUGGGUUUAAAGGGAGCGUAGGUGGACUGGUAAGUCAGUUGUGAAAGUUUGCGGCUCAACCGUAAAAUUGCAGUUGAUACUGUCAGUCUUGAGUACAGUAGAGGUGGGCGGAAUUCGUGGUGUAGCGGUGAAAUGCUUAGAUAUCACGAAGAACUCCGAUUGCGUAGGCAGC